rnacentral:rRNA from 1 species
GCCUGCGGCCACACCACCUUGAAUAAGCCUGAUCUCAUCUGAUCUCAGAAGCUAAGCAACGUUGGGCUUGGUUAGUACUUGGAUGGGAGACCACCUGGGAAUAUCAAGUGCUGUAGGCAUU